AUCUUACGAGAACUUGCCCUUCGGGGUAGAUCUCCCACCCUUUGUUUACAUUACCUUUGUUGCUUUGGCGGGCCCGUCUUGCGACCACCGGCUUCGGCUGGUCAGUGCCCGCCAGAGGACCCCAAACUCUCUUGUUAAUGUCGUCUGAGUACUAUAUAAUAGUUAAAACUUUCAACAACGGAUCUCUUGGUUCUGGCAUCGAUGAAGAACGCAGCGAAAUGCGAUAAGUAAUGUGAAUUGCAGAAUUCAGUGAAUCAUCGGAUCUUUGAACGCACAUUGCGCCCUGUGGUAUUCCGCAGGGCAUGCCUGUUCGAGCGUCAGUACAACACUCAAGCCUAGCUUGGUCUUGGGCCUCGCCGGAAACGGCGGGCCUUAAAAGUAGUGGCGGCGCCCGCUGGGCUCUAAGCGUAGUAAUACUCCUCGCUAUAGGGACCCGGUGGAUGCUGGCCAGCAACCCCCAACUUUCUAAGUUUGACCUCGGAUCAGGUAGGGAUACCCGCUGAACUUAAGCAUAUCAA
rnacentral:rRNA from 1 species